rnacentral:rRNA from 1 species
GCUCGUAGGUGGUUUGUCGCGUUGUUCGUGAAAACUCACAGCUUAACUGUGGGCGUGCGGGCGAUACGGGCAGACUGGAGUACUGCAGGGGAGACUGGAAUUCCUGGUGUAGCGGUGGAAUGCGCAGAUAUCAGGAGGAACACCGGUGGCGAAGGCGGGUCUCUGGGCAGUAACUGACGCUGAGGAGCGAAAGCGUGGGGAGCGAACAGGAUUAGAUACCCUGGUAGUCCACGCCGUAAACGGUGGGUACUAGGUGUGGGUUUCCUUCCUUGGGAUCCGUGCCGUAGCUAACGCAUUAAGUACCCCGCCUGGGGAGUACGGCCGCAAGGCUAAAACUCAAAGGAAUUGACGGGGGCCCGCACAAGCGGUGGAACAUGUGGUUCAAUUCGACGCUACGCGAGGAACCUUACCUGGGCUUGACAUGUUCCUGACCGUCCUGGAAACAGGGCUUUCCCUUCGGGGCAGGAUCACAGGUGGUGCAUGGCUGUCUUCAACUCGUGUCGUGAGAUGUUGGUUUAAGUCCC